AAGUGGAGCAAUCCAUGAGUAUAGUGGCGACCGGGUGAGUAACACGUGACUACCUGCCCUUGAGUGGGGGAUAACCUCGGGAAACCGAGGCUAAUACCGCAUAAUAUCGCAAGAUCAAAGGAGCAAUCCGCUUUUGGAGGGGGUCGCGGCUGAUUAGCUAGUUGGUAAGGUAAUGGCUUACCAAGGCGAAGAUCGGUAUCCGGCCUGAGAGGGCGCACGGACACACUGGAACUGAAACACGGUCCAGACUCUUACGGGAGGCAGCAGUGGGGAAUUUUGCGCAAUGGGGGAAACCCUGACGCAGCAACGCCGCGUGGAGGAUGAAGCCCCUUGGG
rnacentral:rRNA from 1 species